AACGUGUUCUCCGUGUCGUUCGGUCGCCCGUUUAGAGUGUGCGUGUGUGGUGCAGGUGUAGACGAAGGUGAUAUAUUAUAAUAUUAUUAAUUAGUCGUUUCCGUUAUUACGGCCGCGGGCGAGACUGAUUCAUCAUUAGUCGUUUCGUGUUUUAUUAUAGUUUUCGUGAUAAAAAAAAAGUAGAAGAGUUUAAUUUCGUAAAACGCAUGGCGAAUUUUCACCGCUCACCGCCGCCACACCGCUUCGUCAUAACUGCCGAAAAAUGUCAUAGUUUUCGUGGAGAAGAUUGAUUGAUGGUUGGUACAGCACAAACGUCUAAACUGUUUAAUAUAUAUAGAAUAUAUUAUAUCUACUACAAAUACCGCAUCGCAUUGACGAGUGCCCAUAUUAUAGUCGAAAACCGAGUUAAACUAUACUUCCCAUUGACAUAAAUAUGACGAAUAUUGGACGUAUCCGGACUGUAGUGUUGGGAAGUUCUCGUGUUGGGAAAUCUGCUGUCACGGUUCGAUAUCUGACAAAGAGAUACAUCGGAGAAUAUAGUUCAAACACAGGUAAAAUUGAAUUGCUUGUAUAAUGAAUGACACAUAAUGUUAUAUUAUUAAGAGGGGGAAUAAUUGAUUUUGAAAUUAGUUUUGAAUUUAAUUGGGUGCUGGCCACUGGAUAAGGAAUCUAUAAUGUAGCGCAGUGGUGACACUAUUGUUCUAACACGAUGUUGAAUAGGUAUGUAUUAUGUAUAUUUGUAUAUAUACUAUUUAUUACAUUAUUGUUCGUAACUUCAAGUGAAUAAUGAAAUUCUCAACAUUCUCGUUGUCGUUUUUGAUUAUUAUGUUGAAUGUAUAAUAUUAUAUUAUAAUGAAACGGUCGAUUUCAAUACGUUUUAAGACAAUAAUCGAUAUAUUAGAUAACAAGUGACGGAAAAACCAUUAUGUUCUACGCCAUAGUUGAUUUUAUGAUCAUUAGGCGAAAACGUCUUUGAUUAAAAAAAAGUCUACACCAUUGUAAGAUUCAUUUUAACAACUACUAGAUCUAUAGAUAUGCGUUAACGAGUUAUUUACCUUUUAUACUUUACGUCCACCAUCCACGCAUUUCUUCUAAAAUUCAAAAAUAAGUAGAUACACUUCUGUGCAGUGACUGCAGUCACCCAUAUCUUAUAGUGGCCAGUGUAUAAUUUUAUUCAAAAUCAAAUAGGUAUAAACCUAAGAUGAUUAUUUUCACUUUUUGAUGCCAACGCACAUAUAUACUAAUUAUUUGGGUUUCGACAGUUUUAUCUCCGAGUUUUACUGUUAUGUUUGUACACACACCAAACGAGAAUUGAUAUAAUAUAACUGGUCUGCAGUGCGGGGUUAUUGUACACAAUAGUCGUGUAUAUGCUGUGGGGUCGUAAAAAGUUGAUGGUGUAAAAUAGCUUAAAUCCUCACACUCUUGACUAUGCGCGCCUACGCUGUAAGAAGUUAUUUUUCCUUAGUCUUCUGCAGCAAUGCACCGGGCGGCGGGCGCGCGGAUAU